AGUUCACACACAUGUAUAUAAAUUUCCCGGCGAUUAUCAAAGCCAAAUUCCCUUCUCUUUUCCUUUCUGUGAAAAUUUUCCACAAAUUCCUCAAAAUCUAACCUUUCAAACCAAUCAAACAACCUUUAAAAGCAGAAUAGAGCUUCACAUGAUCAACAAAUAACCAAAAACACAGACUCUGUACACAAGAAAACCACAGAGGAAAUGGCAAUGACACCUCAAGAUAGAUCAAAGCCACUCCACAACUUCUCAUUGCCUUGCUUGAAAUGGGGUCACCAAAGAGUCCUUAGAUGUGUCAAAGUUACAGAUGAUCCUCAUCUUCGAUCUUCCUCUUUGAUUCCUAAUGGAUUGCAACCCAAACCCACCAACCUUGACACCCCCAAGAAUCACAAACCAAUCCCAAUCCAAGAGAAUCGCAUUUCCCCUGAUCUUAGAUUCAAUGGGGGUGCUAAGAGAUUGAAAGUCUCUCCUCUUCUUGAAGAAGAGAGGGGCAAUGAUGAUUCUACCAAGCCUUGGAAUUUGAGGACCAGAAGGGCGGCAUGCAAGGCGCCACUACGGAUAGAAGAGAAGAGAAAUAUUGAUUCUCCGAGGAAAACCUUGGAUAUUGAUUCGCCAAGGAGAAAUGACAGUUCUUUGGUUAAGAGGCAGAGUACGGAGCCCGUGAAGGAGAGAGUCAAGUUUUCGGUUCCCCUUUCAAAGGAGGAGAUUGAGCAAGAUUUCAUGGAGAUUUCUAGGAUUAGGCCGCCCAGAAGACCCAAGAAGAGGCCUCGAAUUGUGCAGAAGUAUUUGGACUCGAUUUUCCCAGGAUUGUGGCUAACAGAAGUUACACCAGAUUCAUACGAGGUUCCAGAAGUACCUGAGUCAUGAAAGCAUGACAGGGACAGAAAUGAAAGUGUAAUUGUUUUCUGGGGAAUUUCUUUUAUUCUGCUUGCUAACACUGGUGCAUUUGACCUCAAUUAAUGCUGGUUUGACUUUGACAUUUUCUUCAUUUGUUGAAUGUCAUUUCUCUUAUUCUUAUUCCUGGGUCCCUUCUGCUGUGGGAUCAUCCCAUGCAACCCCUGCUGUUGGAUGAAUCUACUAAUCCAGAGUUCAGAGUCUAUAUUCUGGGUUGAAACCUCUUGAUUGAGCAGAAAGCCUUUGCUACCAUCCCCAAUCUGAAGAAAGAUAUACGAAGCACGUCAAUAGCCAUUUAUUACAUCUUCUUUAUUUAAUGAUAGACCUCAUCUCAGUUAAGUUGAAUCUCUCUCUGUACAUACUGGUAACCAUUUUUAUUUCGAUGCCUCUCCUUAUCACCUCAUUGUUUACCUAAUUCCCAGAUGCC